rnacentral:snRNA from 1 species
GGAUGUGAGGGCGACUUGGCUGCGACAUGUGUCACCCCAUUCAUCACCAGGGUUGAUUUGGCUGAUCUGGCUGGCUAGACGGGUGUCCCCUUCCUCCCUCACCGCUCCAUGACUGUCCCUCCCGAAGCUGCGCACUCAGUGGAAGAGGACGACCAUCCCCGAUACAGGAGGCCCGUUCUCUGGUCAAGGGUAUACGAGUAGCUGCGCUCCCCUGCUAGAACCUCCAAACAAGCUCUCAAGGGCAAGGCUCUGAGUUCAAAAUGGGUAACACCAAAAAACAAACAAACAAAAGACAUAGUAAUU